rnacentral:pre_miRNA from 1 species
GUGUUUGCGGGCGCGGCAUCAUCAAGAUUCACAUCCAUCCCAUCCACGCAUCCUUCGGUUCGUUUCCAAAACGAAACGAUCGACAAUGCGUUGGAUGGAUAUAUAUAGAUGUGCAUGAGAAUCUUGAUGAUGCUGCGGCGGCACACAA